GUGCUUGCUUGGGCAGCACAUAUACUAAAACUGGAACGACAUAGAGAAGAUUAGCAUGGCCCCUGUGCAGGACAACAUGCAGAUCUGUGAGGCGUUCAGGACGGAA